GAUGAACGCUGACAGAAUGCUUAACGCAUGCAAGUCUUUGGCGAAGCUGUGCUUGCACAGCCUAGCCAAGGCGGACGGGUGAGUAACGCGUAAGGAACUUGCCCUGCAGUCAGGGAUAACAGACGGAAACGACUGAUAAGACCUGGUAAAGUCAGGCGGACUCAUGUCCAGCCUGAUGAAAAGAGAUGCUGCAGGAGAGCCUUGCGUCCUAUUAGCUUGUUGGUGGGGUAACGGCCCACCAAGGCGAUGAUAGGUAGCCGGCCUGAGAGGGUGGACGGCCACAAGGGGACUGAGAUACGGCCCUUACUCCUACGGGAGGCAGCAGUGGGGAAUAUUGGACAAUGGGGGCAACCCUGAUCCAGCAAUUCUGUGUGCACGAUGAAGGUUUUCGGAUUGUAAAGUGCUUUCAGCAGGGAAGAAAAAAAUGACGGUACCUGCAGAAGAAGCGACGGCUAAAUACGU
rnacentral:rRNA from 1 species